ACCUGGUUGAUCCUGCCAGUAGUCAUAUGCUUGUCUCAAAGAUUAAGCCAUGCAUGUCUAAGUAUAAGCACCUUAUACUGUGAAACUGCGAAUGGCUCAUUAAAUCAGUUAUGGUUUAUUUGAUGGUACCUUACUACUUGGAUAACCGUAGUAAUUCUAGAGCUAAUACAUGCAGGCAGUCCCGACUUUGAAGGGAUGUAUUUAUUAGAUAAGAAACCAACUCGGGCAACCGGUUGUGUGCUGAGUCAUACUAACUUUUCGAAUCGCAUGGCUUCGGCCGGCGAUGGUUCAUUCAAAUUUCUGCCCUAUCAGCUUUCGAUGGUAGGAUAGAGGCCUACCAUGGCGUUAACGGGUAACGGAGAAUUAGGGUUCGAUUCCGGAGA
rnacentral:rRNA from 1 species